GGGUGCUGCUCCGUGGAGACCAGGAGCUGUGAGAUCUGCUGUGUCUGAGCUGGGAGGGAGAUACAGUCUCUGUGUAGCCCAGGCUAUCCUGAAGCAAUCCUGCCACUGCCUCAGAGCAUGAGGCCUCCGAGCCACGAACCACCACUCCGGCUCCUGUCCCUGUUGGGUCUGCUUUGCAUCCUACCAGUCAUUUUACCAGGCACCAUCGGCUUCUCGCCUAACUCAGAGUCUCCUCUCAUUGAGGCUUCUGCCCACUCCAUGGCUCCCACACACUUGCCUGCUGCAACCCUGGGCAUCUCCCGACCUACAGUCAGCCUCCAGUCGGCUGGCUACAUCUGGAGGGGGCUGCAUGGCUCUCGAAGCUGCUCACUGUGAGCCCUUCUCUGAGGCACAAGGAUGCCUGUGAUAAGAAAAAUGACCAGUCUGAACUCAGGAGUCAGAAGACUGAGUUCAGUUCCUUAUUCUUUGUUCCUGCAUGAGUGAUCACUGGAGACAGAGCCCAGACCCUCGCACACGUGAGUGAAGGGUUCCACCGAUGAGCACACACCACUCCCUCCACCGCUUUCUGAUUCUUAAUGGCAAAUAUCUGUCUCACUGAAGAGGGUGGCACCUUUCUCAGUGAGGCUAGAUGCCAGCCUGAACCCCCACCAGCCCACUUUCCUCACUCCUUCAGAUGGAAAAAGAGUUCCCUACAAGGUGUGGGCUGAGCUGACUUGCUAGGCUCAAAGUGGCUUCUCAGAAGUCCCUCUAAAGUCAAGGGGCUUCCUGUUGCUUGCUGCUGCCGAAAUAAAACA